rnacentral:rRNA from 1 species
GACGAACGCUGGCGGCGUGCCUAAUACAUGCAAGUAGAACGCUAAAGCAGGAGCUUCCUUCUCUGGCUGAGUUGCGAACGGGUGAGUAACGCGUAGGUAACCUGCCUUGUAGCGGGGUAUAACUAUUGGAAACGAUAGCUAAUACCGCAUAACAGUAGAUAUCGCAUGAUAUCUACUUGAAAUUUGCAAUUUCAUCACUACCAGAUGGACCUGCGUUGUAUUCGCUAGUUGGUGAGGUAACGGCUCACCAACGCCACGAUACAUAGCCGACCCGAGAGGGUGGACGGCCAAAAUGGGAAUGGGAACAGGGCCAGGACCCUACGGGAGGCAGCAAGAGGGAAUCUUCGGCAAUGGAGGGAAGGCUGAACGAGGAACGCCGGGGGAGUGAAGGAGGGUUUCGGAUCGUAAAGCUCUGUUGUAAGAGAAGAAAGAGUGUGAGAGUGGAAAGUUCACACUGUGACGGUAUCUUACCAGAAAGGGACGGCUAACUACGUG